AAAUGCAACAAAAAAAGGCCUUUGAUCGUUUUUCGAUUAAAGCGAUACUUCUCGUAAAAAAACAUAAGGCGUACAAAUUCUGAAAUAAUGAAAACGUAACGCCGUUAAUGUGUCGGUUUUCAUUUUACGUCUUUUCCGGUAUUAAUUGAUUAUAAUGAAAACUGAUAAGAAAAUCAAAACCCGACAUAAUUACUUACAAACCAACUAGACCAAACAAAAAAAAAAA